rnacentral:rRNA from 1 species
AACGAACGCUGGCGCCAUGCCUAACACAUGCAAGUCGAACGAGACCUUCGGGUCUAGUGGCGCACGGGUGCGUAACGCGUCGUAACCUGCCCUUAGGUUCUGAAUAACUCCCCGAAAGGGGUUCUAAUACCGGUGAAUGUCUUCGGACCAAAGAUUAAUCGCCUUUGGAUGGGCCCGCGUUCGAUGAGCUUGUUGGUAGGGUAAAAGCCUACCAAGGCGACGAUCCAUAGCUGGUCUGAGAGGAUGCUCAGCCACACUGGGACUGAGCCACGGCCCAGAACCCUCCGGGAUGCCCACGUGCGUCAUACUCGACACUGCGCGCAAGCGUGAUCCAGCAAUCUCAGGUGAGUGAUGAAGGCCUUAGGGUUGUACAGCCCCAUAACCCGGGAUGAUAAUGACAGUACCGGGAGAAUAAGGAGCGGCUACCCUCGAG